rnacentral:ncRNA from 1 species
AAUCAGGGCGGGCAGAACCUUCGAAAGGAGGCGACGCAAAGCCACCACCUAAGGAUUUAUCUACGGUAGCGGGGCUGCUGAA